AUUGAACGCUGGCGGCAGGCCUAACACAUGCAAGUCGAACGGUAGCACAGAGGAGCUUGCUCCUCGGGUGACGAGUGGCGGACGGGUGAGUAAUGUCUGGGAAACUGCCUGAUGGAGGGGGAUAACUACUGGAAACGGUAGCUAAUACCGCAUAACGUCGCAAGACCAAAGAGGGGGACCUUCGGGCCUCUUGCCAUCAGAUGUGCCCAGAUGGGAUUAGCUAGUAGGUGGGGUAACGGCUCACCUAGGCGACGAUCCCUAGCUGGUCUGAGAGGAUGACCAGCCACACUGGAACUGCGGCACGGUCCAGAAUCCUGCGGGAGGCAGCAGUGGGGAAGAUUGCACAAUGGGCGCAAGGCUGAUGCAGCCAUGCCGCGUGUAUGAAGAAGGCCUUCGGGUUGUAAAGUACUUUCAGCGGGGAGGAAGGUGUUGUGGUUAAUAACCACAGCAAUUGACGUUACCCGCAGAAGAAGCACCGGCUAACUCCGUGCCAGCCGCCGCCGUAA
rnacentral:rRNA from 1 species